rnacentral:rRNA from 1 species
AGACCCGGAAGGCGCGGGCCUUAGUGGCGGACGGGUGAGUAACGCGUGGGGAACCUGCCCCGUACCGGGGGAUAACACCUGGAAACAGGUGCUAAUACCGCAUAACAGAAGGGGACGCAUGUUUCUUUCUUGAAAACUCCGGUGGUACGGGAUGGACCCGCGUCUGAUUAGCUGGUUGGCGGGGUAACGGCCCACCAAGGCGACGAUCAGUAGCCGGCCUGAGAGGGCGGACGGCCACAUUGGGACUGAGACACGGCCCAAACUCCUACGGAAGGCAGCAG